UGAUGGAUACUCGUGAAGGUACCGACCCAGCCGUGGCGGCCGCCGCAGAAGCUGCCGGAGCACCUUUAGAUUUUACAACUCAGACGAGAAAUGCAAAUGGAGCUGAUUGGCAGGCAGAGGUUUACCAAAAGAUCAAGUCUAUGAAGGAGCUGUAUUUUUCAAAGCUCAAUGAUCAAUACCAGAAAAUGGCUUAUAAAGUGCAAUAGGAAUCUAGCUCAAACGAAGCUAUUGGGAGGCCUUCAGUAUUUUUCAAGUAAAAGGAGUAAGUCAUUAUUCACAUCCAUCACAUAUAUUGUUUUCAUUGUUCUUAAUUAUUAUUAUUUUUAUACUAAGUAAUUGUAGGUGAGAAACCAAUAGUCCUCAACUUGUUAUGGAAGACUAGGAAGACCAUGUU